UCCGAAGCUACCAGAAUGAUGGAGAAAUGAUACUGAUUGUAUGAAAACAACCCCUUCAGAUAACUCCUGUCUUCCUGGGAAGGCCCCUGAAAGAAACAGCUAAAGAAGUUGAAGCCGAAGAUAUUGAAUGCCUUGUCUGAGACCAUUCUGCUGGAACCAAGAACCUGCGGAAACAGCUGUUGAUUUUCACAUUGAAACCACCAGAGUCAUGGAUAGUGCCUCAGAUGGCCACAGUUUUGCCCGGCACUUCAGUCUGUUCAGUUGGAUUUGUGAGACCUGUCACCCCCAGGUAAUGCCUAUGAUCAUCUCAACAAGUAUAAGACA